GGCGAAACUCGCCGAGCAAGCCGAGCGCUACGAGGAGAUGGUCAAGUUCAUGGAGAACGUCGUCUCCGCCGUCCCUGCCCCCGACGAACUCACCGUCGAGGAACGGAACCUCCUCUCUGUCGCCUACAAGAACGUGAUCGGCGCUCGCCGUGCCUCUUGGCGGAUCGUUUCCUCCAUCGAGCAGAAAGAGGAAGGACGUGGCAACGCCGACCACGUCUCUGUCAUCCGUGAGUACAGGGCCAAGAUCGAGGCCGAAUUGUCCGAGAUUUGCGCCGGAAUUUUGAAGCUUCUCGACGAGAAGCUCGUUCCGGCCGCCGGGACCGGUGAUUCCAAGGUCUUUUACCUGAAGAUGAAGGGAGAUUAC
rnacentral:lncRNA from 1 species